rnacentral:lncRNA from 1 species
UCGACGGCGUCCUUGCGCGCCUCCGCGUACAGCACCCGCCGCGAUCGCUUGUCCACCAGCAGCUUCAUCUGCAGCACGGCCACCGCCGCCGCCCCCUUCUCCGCCGCAGACGCCGCGUCAUUCUUCGCCGCCGUCGACAUACCUCUCAACGCAGGUGAACUGCGGCUUCUCUCUGUCUAUCUCAGGUAACUCGCUGCCGUCAAACUAGAUGGACAGAAGAAGCAGCUCG